GUCCGCCACCAAACUUCCUCUCGCCAACAAUAUUUUCUCUUCUGGUUGAUGGUUCAGCAAAGCCAGUGCUAGACGACAUAGCUGACAAUGAACUUUUGGAAAAAGUAAAAAAGGUAUCUGAAAGUACAACCCUUGAGGACCUUGAGAUGACAACGGCACCUCUGCUUGACUACUUGGCCAAUGCAGGAUGUCUGAGGCCUAUGCGCUCUAUAAGAGACAGGGAUUUGCUGGUACAUGACAUUGUCAUGUUCCAGAUCAUCCACAGGGUUCAAGGUCCAUUUCAAAGAUUCUGUGAAGGACUGAAAACGCUUGGGGUUCUGGAGAAAAUCCAAAGGCAUCCAGACAGCUUUCGUCCCCUGCUCUGUCAUGAGCCAAGCACACUGACUGCUGACCAGAUGGAUGAUGUUUUCAGCAUUUGGCUGUCUCCAGAAGGGAGCAACAAGAGAGCUGCUGAGGAGAUAGUCGUUACCUUCUGGAGAGACUAUCUCCAGGAUGCAGAGGAGGAAGAAGGGCCAUCCAAACUCCAAAAAAUAUUGGCCUUUGCAACUGGAGCAUCUGUGCUACCACCGAUUGGCUUCUCUCCAACUCCUUCCAUCCAGUUCAUCCAGAAGGAAGAUGACGACUUCUCCUCGACCCCAAUGUUCCCUGUGGCCAACACGUGUGUCAACUGUCUCAAGUUGCCACUACAUGUUUCAUAUCGGCUCUUUAAGGAGAAGUUCGACUUUGCAAUCGGAAACUCGUAUGGGUUUGGCAGGGCAUAAACAUAUAUGUCUUUGAAAAAGGAAUAAAAUGGAACUGUUCUUCCCCUCACACUGAUAUUUAUGGAAGCCCGUUUCCGCCACUGUGAUAACAAAAUUAAGAUCCUGUCAGUCAUA